rnacentral:rRNA from 1 species
AUUGAACGCUGGCGGCAGGCCUAACACAUGCAAGUCGAACGGUAACAGGAAGAAGCUUGCUUCUUUGCUGACGAGUGGCGGACGGGUGAGUAAUGUCUGGGAAACUGCCUGAUGGAGGGGGAUAACUACUGGAAACGGUAGCUAAUACCGCAUAACGUCGCAAGACCAAAGAGGGGGACCUUCGGGCCUCUUGCCAUCGGAUGUGCCCAGAUGGGAUUAGCUAGUAGGUGGGGUAACGGCUCACCUAGGCGACGAUCCCUAGCUGGUCUGAGAGGAUGACCAGGCACAAUGGAACUGAGGAAAGGUCCAGGCUCCUAAGGGAGGGAGCAGUGGGGAAUAUUGCACAAUGGGCGGAAGCCUGAUGCAGCCAUGCCGGGUGUAUGAAGAAGGCCUUCGGGUUGUAAAGUACUUUCAGCGGGGAGGAAGGGAGUAAAGUUAAUACCUUUGCUCAUUGACGUUACCCGCAGAAGAAGCACCGGCUAACUCCGUG